rnacentral:tRNA from 1 species
UUAGAAUUAUAAGAUAUUGUUAAUUUCUUAAAGGCAAAUAACCAUUCUAAG